AUACGUAGGGGGCAAGCGUUGUCCGGAAUUACUGGGCGUAAAGCGCACGCAGGCUGAAUUAUAAGUCGGUAGUCAAAGGCGGAGGCUCAACCUCUGUAUAUAUAUCGAUACUGUAAAUCUGGAGUAUGUGAGAGGGAAGCGGAAUUCCCGGUGUAGCGGUGAAAUGCGUAGAUAUCGUGAGGAACACCAGUGGAGAAGGCGCCUUCCUGGCAAAAGUCUGACGCUCAUGUGCGAAAGCUAGGGCAGCGAACGUGAGAUGAUACCCCGGUAGCCCUAGCCGUAAACGAUGGAUACUAGGUGUUGGUGUCGCAGGGCAUCCGUGCCGCAGUUAACGCGUUAAGUCGACCGCCUGGGGAGUACGGCCGCAAGGUUAAAACUCAAAUGAAUUGGCGGGG
rnacentral:rRNA from 1 species